UUAUGUAUGUAGUGGUAUUAUAUAUUCAUUCAGUGGUACUCACUACGUGUAGAAAUAGUAUCACUACGGUAAAAAUAGUAUCACUACAUAGUCAAUGGUACUACCUAAGCUUUCAACGGUACAUUUAAAAAAUGACCCCACUUACCCAUAUCUCUCCUCCUUUCUCUCAUCUCCACGUGCUUUUUAAUAUUUUAGUGUUUGUUAUGCAUUUGCAAAUGCAUAACUAACCUCCCUAAGUACUUCCUCCACAAUAGACAACCCAAAUUAAAUCACACAUAUUCAAUUCAUUUCCAUGCACUUUCUCUCUCCUCAACCAUUUUCUCUCUCCUCCAUUGCAAUGAGCUUUCUCUAUCAAAUUGGGUAUAAUUUGCUGCAAAAUCGUCUCGAUCUUGCUGAAAUUGCUUCAAAUUUGUCAAGAUCUUGUUGGAAAUUCAAUUUUUCUUGUUUAAUUUGGUGAAUUUAGGUCAAAUUUCUUCUACGACUCUGAAUUUUGAGCGGCAUUUGAGGUAAAGCUACUAUUUACAUUAUAUGUCCGUGUUGCGGGAAGGCCCAGGAAACAAUAAUGUAUGCUCUUUUUCAGUGUACUGAAGCUCGGAUGAUACGGUUGAUCAAACCUAUCUACAUGUACAAUUUGAUGACUUUGCUACAAUUUUCUCAACUUUAGAGAUAACCAUUGCGAUUUGAGUUUCAUUUGUAAGUUAAUGAUUUCUCUACUAUUUUAUCAGGAGCUUUCUUCGAUCUUAGGUUAGGAUUUUAAAUAUUUUCUCAUCUAGAUUUUGAUAAAUUAAUUUAUAGUUUUAUCUAAUUUGUCUAUUUUUUUUAAUGUUUCUGCUAUCUUUUUACUGAAUUUUGGAUUUUGAUUUGUAUAUUUUUAGACAGAUGAUCCUUACGUUUUGAGUGAACUUAAGACCUAAUCGAUUUGUAGCUAUCUAAAUUGUUAAUAGAUGAAUGAUUAUUGCUAUUUGUUCUUUUUUUUUUAGUAGACUACAUAUCCUUAAAACUAAACUAAAUCUCUUUUAAAGUAAAUUAAAUUUCAAUGCACACUAACUGUUUGACAAAAUGCCUCAAUGAAUCUUACUAUCAUUUAAUCAAUUUCAAAAGUAGAUAGAAACAGAGUAAAAGUAGAUCAAUUAAAUUUUAAAGUAAAUUGAAAGACUAAAAUUGUGAUGCAGAACAAGUUAAUAAUUUGUUGAAUAUGCACUAAUGUUCAUAUGUUUUUUUGUUCUUCCAGAUUUUGUAAAAGAAUAUUUAAGCUCCCCCUUCACAAUUACAACUUCUAGUCCUUUAAUUUAGAUUCUAAUCUGAACAUGCAUAGGGAUUUUGUUGGUCUGCUAAGCAACCUAAGUAAACUUGAUUUUCUUAAAAGUAAACUAAUUCGGUCCCAAAGUAGAUAAUUAUUUUGCUGGUAGGUAGCAAUUUCCAACUUGAGUCCACGAGAUGUAGCUUUAUAUAAUAUGUAGGUAUGACAAGCAUAGUUUUUAAUAAUUAGAACUUGGAGAAGAACAAAGAUUGGAAACUUGUAACUCAUAGCUAAAUGAGAUAAGAUAUACUCACUUGGUACUUCUUUCUAUCUUUAGGUUUUGUUUUGCUCUGGUGAUCUGGUCUUUUGAUUGGAGAUUUUUUUUUGUGCUAGCUCCUUUUUUUUUUUUUUUUUUUUAUGUGCUUAUUUUUCCAGUUUUGUUCUUACAUUCACUUUACAUGUGAAGUAACUGAAAUGCAUUAUGUCGUCGUAGAUAUGGUACUUGUUUACUUAUGGUAGUUGUUUACUUAUAAAUGUGUAUCUUGUUCCUUCUGCUCUCUAAGAAACUUGUUGGUAGGGUAAGUUAAUAGCAAGAUUAAGGAGAGGAGAGGAGAGUAUAUAGUGUAAUGUGGAUUGAAUUUUACUUUAUAAAACGAGAUAUGUUUUAAAGAAGACUAAUAUAUUUUUACUCUAUAGUAUGAGUGUUGUGUGUCAUCCAUAGCAUGAUCACAAUCCUAAGUGGUCUCAAAAUAUAAAUAACAAUGAAUCUAAAGUGAAUUAAAAAGAAUUUAAAGUAAACCUAUUAGCUCAAGUGGUAGAACACUAUGCGAAUGUAUAGAGGUGUAGUUUUGAUUCCUACAUAGGUUAUCUAUAAAAAUAUAUACUA